ACGCCAUAAACCAGCUGAUCCUGUUCAUAGGAGCCAUCCUUUUCUUCGGAUGGGUCACACCCAACUAACCAAUCACGAGCCGAAAGGGAAAGCUCACGUGAUUGGCAACCGGCAACCGGCAACCGGCAGAUGCCAACCGCCAGGGUAUCAUGCAUCAAGAAGUUGAGGAGAGAAGCAGGAAGUUGGUGAUGCCUUAUUGGGGUGGCAGAUGGAAUGGUGGAUAUAUUUGGUGGUGUGGGUUUCCCCCCAUAUCUGUGCUACUCCAAUCUUCUGCAUGUGCCCUUUGGCCUUCCUUUGUCUAACUCAAAAUAUUAAUCAUUCAUCACCCAACCUCUCUCUUGAAUGCAUAUAAGCAAUCAUUGAUUUCAUAAGCAUCCAAGAGCAAUGUUGGAAUAAAAAUAUGGCUUUUGUGUAUCAUAGACACUAUUUAUCUUGCCCUUCUUCCCAUCUGCUUUUGUGUAUCAUGUGGGCCAUGGAUAUCGAAUGAUGAUGACUUGUGUCGAUAUAUAGAUGUAAUGUGACCUACUUACAAUGAAUUUAUGUUUGUUGUCUUCUUCGAAAAGUGAUGAAAAAUUCA
rnacentral:lncRNA from 1 species